rnacentral:misc_RNA from 1 species
CUAAAUGUGUGCCAGACAUACGAUUUGUGUGCGUAAAUCGCUGAAUAAAUUUCUAAGGUUUUUAUUUAGUCAAGGAGAAUUCCCUUUAUGUGCCAUAAGGUUGCUUUAUUUCAAGAUAAAACGCCAUUCAUGCCAUUGCGUUGCUUUUUAAUUAAAGCGGUUGUAGCCAAAUUUUUUGGCCCCGAGUGAAAAAUAAAAAAAAGUUCUAAUACGGAGCCGUGGCGUCACCUACCAAUGUUUGUUCGAAUUAUGAUUUCGCGGGUGGCGGCGUUCGAGCUACGGCUAAGGUCGGACGAGAAAGAAGCGGCAGGUUGUACGACUGCCGAAGCUGGCCGAGGCGCAGCGCGCACACGUACGCGGUCGCUCUCUCGUGUGCGUAUCCCCCUCCACGCGUUAGCAUGUUGCAGCGUCUCGCUGGCAUCACCGCGGUCACCAGUCGUCGUGUUCCCGUGAUCUCGUCGAGUCUGGUUCCGGUGGCUUAUGCGGAUUUGCCGUCGCGGCGGACGCAGUCGAUGCCCGUUCCGUUGAUUCGAGCAGGACCGUACCGCACGGCAGCGCGAGGAUCCAGGAGUGCCGGCGUACCGUUCUCGCGUCAGAUAUGAGCCACGCUUGGCUACGCUUUUCACGUGCGUCGCAGAGUGGCCGCCGGCGGCAGCGCGGGUGUGUCCGCUGAAUCGAUCGCGUUCCGAUACGGUGCGAUCGAGUGUGUCAGUCACCUCGCCGACGGCCGACGGGAGCGUGUCGGCGCCUUCGCGGUCGCUAGGACCGCGCGCGCGCGCGCGUACGCGGGUGCGCACCGUGUCGGUAUGCACAGUCGACCACCAGCCACCGCGAUGUCGACGGUGGCCGAGCCGCAGGAACGCAACAUCGCCUACAACGGCAAGGACAACGUGUCAGCUGUGGUGGUGCAGCCUACCACUACCAGGUGCAGACUCAGGGUCUACAAGAUCGUAGUGCUAGGCGAUGGUGGCGUUGGCAAAUCAGCCGUCACGCUGCAGUUUGUCAGUCACAGAUUUCUGGAUUAUCAUGAUCCUACUAUAGAGGACUCAUAUCAGAAGCAAGUGGUUAUCGAUGGCGAGGCAGCUCUCUUGGAUAUUUUGGACACAGCUGGACAGGUGGAGUUCACAGCCAUGCGCGAGCAGUACAUGAGGUGCGGAGAAGGUUUCAUGAUAUGUUACUCCGUGACGGAUAGACAUAGCUUCCAAGAGAUAAUGGAGUACAGGAAACUAAUAUCGCGGGUGCGCGCCAACGAGGAGAUUCCUCUGGUGUUGGUCGGCAACAAGUUUGAUCUGCAGCAUCAUCGAAAGGUGAGCAUGGAGGAGGGUAAGGCACUGGCAAAGGAACUAGGUUGUCCGUUUUACGAGACGUCCGCUGCGCUCAGGCAAUUCAUAGACGACGCGUUCUUCUCGUUGAUCAGGCAGAUCCGCGCCAAGGAGAAGUCCCGCAACCGCAAGCGCAGCCGCUGGUGGCGGAUUCGUUCGAUAUUCGCGUUCAUCUUCCGGCGGAAACAGAGGCACCUUUCCCAUCAUUCGCUUUAAAACCGUUUCGAUAGUGAGCCUCCUACUAGCAAGAUUAUUGAAAUCAAAGGCAGCAAUAGGACGAGUGUAAUAUCAAGAGGGUUCGCAACGAAGUAAGCGUAUUAAUUGCCCAUAGCUUUUUAUAACUCACACAGUAGUCUUGUUUAGAGACUGACGAUUUGUCAACACCACACUGCCUUAUCGUUGACCCCAUAUACUCUGGAUACGGCAAGGUGAAAUUGUCAGAGACAGACUGGAAAGCGCACUUGUAUUUAAUCUGAGAUCUCAGAUUAGUCAAUCACUCGUGCUACUCGGCAUUUUCUCCUACGAUGACAGCAGUCUCUCUUCCAUGAUUUAUCUCUCAAAGGCUGUUAACGUACAUUCACGUUCAUUUAGGCUUCGUGAAGCAAUCAGUGAUGAGAUGACGAAGCUAAAUGCCGAAAGUAUCCAACUUUAGUUAGAUAUUUCGACUGUCUCAAGUAAAGUCUCUCUAUUCUAACUCUGAUUGUAAUAAACUCCGAUCUGUAGACUUUAGUUUGCUACUAGCAGCUGAUUACGUGACCAAAGAGAAGUAUAUGAAACAUUAAGACGAAGUGGCAAGUGCAAGAUAUUAUAUAAGAGCUUCGUAACAGAGAUUGUUGCAAUUUUACAUGAGAGAUUAUUGCGCUCCAAGUGGUAAAUGAUAAACUGAAUUUAUUUAUUCUAAUUUAAUUCACCAUGUAAAUAUGAGAGAAAUGUUAUAUAAGUAUUAAAUGAUUUUAUAUAAAAGAGAUUGAUUUUUAGAAUGUACAUUCUAUAAAUAUGUACUCUAAAAAUUAUAUACGCGCGCGCGAUAACUUUGUCCAAGUUACAAUAAGUUGCAAAGUUUAAGAUUGUUGCAUUACGUGAAUCAUGUGAUCUCCAAGAUAUUUCAAAGAGAUAUUUCUCAAGAGAAAUAUAUCAUAAAAUACGUCUGCCAUAAAUACGGACAAUUAAACUGGCGAUAUAAGCAACUAUUAUACAUUAUUUCUAUACAUUACCAAUAUACGACAGCUCCAGGAGAAAUACUGUAUAGAUUUUUAACAUAAUUAUGACUCUUAUGCAUGUGUUGUACAGUUACAGUGCACAACAUUGCAGUUUGAUUGCAAUUUAAUUUUUGUUGACGAUUUGACGAUAAAUGCCUCGAUCAUAUAUGCAGCUCUUCAAGUAUAGAAUUAUGUUUAUAUAAGUUGAAAUUAAUAAAUUGUUCACACACUAAUUAUUUCUUCAUCUAACAUUUAAUGUGAAUUAAUGGCACAAAAUGUUUAUAAUAGUAGUAGAAUAUAAAUUUGCACUGAUAUGUGUAUAUUUUAUAUAUAUAUAAACAAGGGAAAGAGAGAAUUAUUUAGAUGUAAGCACCUGCAUAGUAAUUGUCUAGUCGUUACUUAAAUUGUCCUAGUCACAUUUUGCAUUUUGUUGUAAUACAUUAAUUUAUAUUAGUUUAAUUACAUAGUUUAAACGUUGAUCAAUGUGCACUUUUAUAUGUUAUUACUUGUAAUAUUAUAUAUCAAAUAAAUAUCUUUAUCUAUAAAAAUAUAAUUUAAUCUAUUUAAAACGCAGUUUCUUUUAUUUAUUAAUAAAUACUAAUUUACUCCGUAAUAAUAAUGUACAAUGUACUUUUGAUAAUUUUGCCAAAGUUUCGCAAUAUAAUUAAUACAAAAUGGCUAUCAAGUAAACUUUCUUUUCCUCUUUGUCUAUCUCUCUCUCUCUCUCCCUCUCUCGCUCGCUCACUUUCUUUACUAAUAAAUAAUAGUUAUAUGUAUUUUAAAAAAAGAGAAAUUGCCAUAAGAUGCGAUAUUGCAAAUGAAAUAUUCAUACUUUCACAUAUCAGUGAGAAGUAUUGUUAUUUUAGAGCUAUUAUUUUCUAAUUAACGACGUAUAAAAUCAAAUUACGUAAACUGAGAAUUGUAAUAUGUAUAUGACAUUAUUGUUAAUUAUAUAUAAAAAUGUUUAUAUAUAAGUAAAUUGAUACAUGUCACGAAUAAUUAAAUUAUAUCGUCGUUUUAUACAACAUUUAGUUAAAUAUAAAAUGGAUUAAAUAUGAAAUAUAAUUUCGCGCAGAUAAUAAAUUCCGCAUGUGUAAUAACCAUGAGAGUAUCGUGAAUGGAAAAUGUAACAACAAGCAUAUAAAGAAUAUUUAAAAUGUAUAAGGUCGACAUAAUAAUUAAUGAUUGCUUGCAUAUUACAUUUUUAUUUGAUGUUACGCAUGUACAUACAUUUGUUAUAAGAAUUCCGUAAACUUUUAAUAACGUGUACUUAAAAAGAAACCUCUAAUUUAGAUGUAAUUUCUUUAUUUAACAGAUAGCAAGUUCGAUUGAUGGCACAAAUAAAUAUCAUAUAUAAAAAUUGUAAGAAUUUCGCGAUAUAAAAUAUAUAUAUUCCAUAUGCUGGCUAAAGCAUUGAUCUAAUACAAAACUAAAAUAUUUUGUAUACUAUUAAUACAAAAUAAUUUUACAGUAAGUAAUAAUUAUUGAAGAAAUAAAAUUUUAAAAUCAUACUUGUAUUAUAUCUGAAUAUAUUUCGUUAUUACAAA